rnacentral:rRNA from 1 species
UACGUAGGGUGCAAGCGUUGUUCGGAAUUACUGGGCGUAAAGGGCUCGUAGGCGGCCAACUAAGUCGGAUGUGAAAUCCCCAGGCUUAACUUGGGAACUGCAUCCGAUACUGGAUGGCUUGAAUCCGGGAGAGGGAUGCAGAAUUCCAGGUGUAGCGGUGAAAUGCGUAGAUAUCUGGAGGAAUACCGGUGGCGAAGGCGGCAUCCUGGACCGGCAUUGACGCUGAUGAGCGAAAGCUAGGGGAGCAAACGGG